CACCUAAAACUCAAAAGCCUUUUAAAUCUUCUGGGUUGUGGUUCAAACAGGGAUAUGGGAUCGUACCUUUUGUUUUAAUCAUCGCUGGUAUUGUUACAGGGAUUCUGGAGCAUUUUAGGAUUGUAUGUUUAACAAAAGAAGCAUAGCUUGAUUGUAAUUCUCUAAUAAAGUUUUGAGAAAGUCAUGUUUAAUUUGUUAAGCUAUCCCAAAUUCUGGGCCUCUUCGACAAACUCAUUCUUGUUAAAAUUUAACGUUCCAUUGAAAUUUUUAUGACAAAGAAUUAUAUGGUGUUGACGCUCAGCACACACCGAGCUCAUCUGCCCAAUAAAUACACGACACGUAGGCCUCGUGCACCGCACCAGAAGAAACGAGCAAAUCGACAUCGGCCUUGAACUUCGAGCUGCCUUAGAAAAUUCAAGAGGAUGCAAAUCAGCCACGUCGAUGACAAGACCCCCUCUGACCGCCAACCCGCCGUACGUCAUAAAACGUGCCCAUGUCCCUUCAAAAACCAAGUGUGAACCGCUCAAAUCACCACCUCAUCAGAUGGGACUACCGCUGUGCGCAACGG
rnacentral:lncRNA from 1 species